rnacentral:rRNA from 1 species
AUUGAACGCUGGCGGAAUGCUUUACACAUGCAAGUCGAACGGCAGCACGGGGCAACCUGGUGGCGAGUGGCGAACGGGUGAGUAAUAUAUCGGAACGUGCCCAAUCGUGGGGGAUAACGUAGCGAAAGUUACGCUAAUACCGCAUACGAUCUACGGAUGAAAGCGGGGGAUCGCAAGACCUCGCGCGAAUGGAGCGGCCGAUAUCAGAUUAGGUAGUUGGUGGGGUAAAGGCUCACCAAGCCAACGAUCUGUAGCUGGUCUGAGAGGACGACCAGCCACACUGGAACUGAGACACGGUCCAGACUCCUACGGGAGGCAGCAGUGGGGAAUUUUGGACAAUGGGCGCAAGCCUGA